UGCUUAUGGUUUUAUGGAAUGGUCUCCCAU
rnacentral:piRNA from 1 species